rnacentral:snRNA from 1 species
GUAUUUACCUGACAGGGGAAGUGAGGAUUUCCCAAGGCAAAGCUUACCAUUGCACUCCAGAUGUGCUGACCCUGUAAUUUCCAACUGCAUAAUUUGUGGUAGUUUGGGACUGUGUUCACACUCUCCUGUA